CGCAUCUGUGCAUGCAGCAUAUCAAUAAGCGGAGGAAAAGAAACUAACAAGGAUUCCCCUAGUAACGGCGAGUGAAGCGGGAAGAGCUCAAAUUUGAAAUCUUAAAGGGUUUCCCUUUACGAAUUGUAGUUUAAAGAAGUGUUUUCUGUUGAGGUUUUGGUAAAAGUUCUUUGGAAUAGGACAUCAUAGAGGGUGAGAAUCCCGUAUUUGACCUUUACUUUCAACUUUGUGAUACACUUUCAAAGAGUCGGAUUGUUUGGGAAUGCAGUCCAAAAUGGGUGGUAAAUUUCAUCUAAAGCUAAAUAUUGGCGAGAGACCGAUAGCGAACAAGUACCGUGAGGGAAAGAUGAAAAGAACUUUGAAAAGAGAGUUAAACAGUACGUGAAAUUGUCAAAAGGGAAGCGUUUGACACCAGUGUUGUUUUUCUGAAAAUCAAUUAAAGAACUGUUUAUGCUAAGUUGUUUAGACUUUAUCAGCUAACUGUUUAGUUUUGAGCUUUUCUUUAAUGCACUUUUCAGUUAACAAGUCAACAUCAAUUUCUUUUGCUGUAAAAAAGCUUGAGGAAGGUGGCUUGAGAUUCGUCUUAAGUGUUUAUAGCCUCUUGCCUAUGCAGUCGGAGAGAUUGAGGUCUGCAGGCGUAGAUCCUUCGGGGCUAAAUGCAUUUGUGCUAAGUUAUAGCAUUUUAUAGACAACUUGUUGACUAUGAUUUGUCUUGUAGCUUACUCGCUUAUGUUAUUUUACCUACGCUUAGGAUGUUGAAUCUGUGCGAGACUAC
rnacentral:rRNA from 1 species